CCUGUGAAACCCAAAAGAUCGAAUGAGGAGAUUCAUCGUCAAUGAAUUUGGUAUUAAUAUGAAUUAUGAUGUGUAUACAUAUUUAUGUUAUUAUAAUUGCUAAAUUUGUCGUCGUGCACUUCUCCUCUAGUAGGACAUCGCGACCCGUUGGGAUUUGUUGGUUUACGGCCCGAUCUUUAUUGCUUUAAAGACAAUUGGCUUUAAAGACAAUUGGUGUUUCCUAACCAUCUGCCCGACGGGGUAUUAAGCCGCUUAUUAUAUAUUUGCGUUAUUGCGUUAAGCCCACCGCAAGUGAGACUUACUUUAGUAGUGUGGACCUAGUGCCAUCGCUAUAGUGGUGUCUUUUAACUGGCUUUUCAUUACCUGUCAGCGAUGCUACUGCUUUGGGUACUUUCAGGACCCGUCUUGAAACACGGACCAAGGAGUCUAACAUGUACGCAAGUCAUUGGGAUUUAAACCUAAAGGCGUAAUGAAAGUAAAGAUCGAA
rnacentral:rRNA from 1 species